rnacentral:lncRNA from 1 species
GUUGAGGUAGGUGAUAUCUUGACUGUAGAAAAGAUGCUCAGGUACUUCCUCAAGGCUGUAGCAUGAAAGAUCAACCAUGCUAAGUCGCAUAGACACAACCGUGGAUGCCUGUCGGUGCCACCGCUGGCACUCCGCCAGCGUUUCGAAGGAAACGUGGUAUGUUUGGGCUUGUGCUCCAGCGGAUGUGAAAGCAAGCGUGUACUGCCGACGUUUCAUUUCUUCAACCUUCCCUCCGACAAGAGGCAAGAUGUGCA